AGAGUUUGAUUCUGGCUCAGAACGAACGCUGGCGGCAGGCUUAACACAUGCAAGUCGAACGAUGUAGCAAUACAUAGUGGCGCACGGGUGAGUAAUACUUGGGAAUAUGCCUUUUAGUUGGGAAUAACAGCGGGAAACUGCUGCUAAUACCCGAUACGCCCUCCGGGGGAAAGAUUUAUCGCUAAAAGAUUAGCCCAAGCCAGAUUAGGUAGUUGGUGAGGUAAUGGCUCACCAAGCCUACAUCUGUAGCUGGUCUGAGAGGACGACCAGCCACACUGGAACUGAGACACGGUCCAGACUCCUACGGGAGGCAGCAGUGGGGAAUAUUGGACAAUGGGCGAAAGCCUGAUCCAGCCAUGCCGCGUGAAUGAUGAAGGCCUUAGGGUUGUAAAGUUCUUUUGUCAGGGAAGAUGAUGACGGUACCUGAAGAAUAAGCACCGGCUAACUUCGUGCCAGCAGCCGCGGUAAUACGAAGGGUGCUAGCGUUGUUCGGAAUCACUGGGCGUAAAGCGCGCGUAGGUGGCUUUUCAAGUCAGGGGUGAAAUCCCACGGCUCAACCGUGGAACUGCCUCUGAAACUGGGAAGCUUGAGUGUCGGAGGGGAUAGCGGAAUUGCUAAUGUAGAGGUGAAAUUCGUAGAUAUUAGCAGGAACACCGGUGGCGAAGGCGGCUAUCUGGACGACAACUGACACUGAGGCGCGAAAGCGCGGGGAUCAAACAGGAUUAGAUACCCUGGUAGUCCGCGCUGUAAACGAUGGAUGCUAGCUGUUGGGGGGUUACCUCUCAGUAGCGCAGCUAACGCGUUAAGCAUCCCGCCUGGGGAGUACGGUCGCAAGAUUAAAACUCAAAGAAAUUGACGGGGACCCGCACAAGCGGUGGAACAUGUGGUUUAAUUCGAGGCAACGCGAAGAACCUUACCAGGACUCGACAUGCCCUCUAUAGACCCCCGAGAAGGGGUCUUUCACUUCGGGUGGGAGGAGCACAGGUGCUGCAUGGCUGUCGACAGCUCGUGUCGUGAGAUGUUGGGUUAAGUCCCGCAACGAGCGCAACCCUCAUUCUCUGUUGCUAACAGGUCAAGCUGAGAACUCUGAGAAAACUGCCGGUGAUAAGCCGGAGGAAGGUGGGGAUGACGUCAAGUCCUCAUGGCCCUUACGUCCUGGGCUACACACGUGUUACAAUGGCGGUGACAAUGGGUCGCGAUCGCGCAAGCGCUAGCCAAUCCCCAAAAGCCGCCUCAGUUCGGAUCGUACUCUGCAACUCGAGUACGUGAAGCUGGAAUCGCUAGUAAUCGUGGAUCAGCACGCCACGGUGAAUACGUUCCCGGGUCUUGUACACACCGCCCGUCACACCAUGGGAGUUGGUUCUACCUUAAGUCGCCGUGCCAACCGCAAGGAGGCAAGCGCCCACGGUAGGGUCAAUGACUGGGGUGAAGUCGGAACAAGGUAGCCGUAGGGGAACCUGCGGCUG
rnacentral:rRNA from 1 species